rnacentral:lncRNA from 1 species
AUGAUAGGCUUCAUACAACUUGAUCAAAUGCUGCCAUGCCUGAGAAGUAGUCAUGUUAAGAGGAUGACAACGUACUUUGGGGGACUAACGAUUGUUCAGGGCGAGACUAUGGACAAAGAAAAUAAAAAUGUAAAAGGCAGAGAGAAUGAAAGAAGGUAUAUGCUUUGGUAGUGUAACUGAAAGAGUCCUGGAAUUGGAAAACAAAAUCCGGAAGUUGAGUUCCAUGGCUUUUUUGUUGUUUGUCUUUGGGUAAGUCUAUGAUAUCCAGUUUCUGCAUUGCUCAAUUUUGUUGUAAAGACUAAAUAAAGUAGUACACAUGUACACAUGUACAGCUAGACUGUAAAUCAC